rnacentral:tRNA from 1 species
GGCAACGUGCCAGAGUGGUUAAUGGGUUAGACUCGAAUUGACGAUAUCUAAUGACUUCGGUCGCACAGGUUCGAAUCCUGUCGUUGUCG